CGGAGUGACUGACCGUUCUUUACUUUUCCCUCCCGCAGUAAAAAACCCUUUGGACGAUAUUCCAGAUGGCUUCCACAAGGAUUUCAUCAAUGGGUAUAUGAAGAACUGGCCUUACCCACCCCAGACCCACUUCAGGGUUGGACAGACAAUUAAUGUGGAACUUGAAGGAGUCCCGCAGAGUUGUGUGGUGCGGCUCAUGGACUGCAGCCUGAUACAGGUUGUUGUGUCGACGGAUGAAAAUAAGGAGUGGAUCUAUCGAGGGUCCCCAUGCUUGGAACAGAUGAAUACUAUGAAGGAUCCUGUGGAGUUGAAAAACGAUAAGGGGCAGAAGAAUACAUCUCCAAGUUGAUGAGUCAUCCAAGUCGGCACACUGGGAUGGGAUGAGAAGUGGAUGCUGCGUUCCAAGAUGGUGUCUCAUCGAUUCACAGUUGCUCACCAAGAAUACACUAAAAAUGAUUUUUAGGUCUUUUAGGGCCAGAGGGAAUCCACACAUCAGUUGUCUUCUGGCCAAGCUUGGUUGAGAGCAUUUUAGCGUUAUAUCAGCCAUAAUCAGUCAUAUACAGUGUAAAUACAGUGUAUAUGGCUGAGUGUGCAUUGUUCUUUUAAACAUGAAUGUUUUUAUUGUUGUUUGUUUUCUGAAAUAAAAAUGAGUUGUCGAAUUUUCA